rnacentral:rRNA from 1 species
CAUGUCUUUUUGAUAAAAAUAUAAAGUCUAGUCUGCUCAAUGAAUAUAAAAAUUUAAAUAGCUGCAGUAUUUUGACUGUACAAAGGUAGCAUAAUAAUUAGUUUUUUAAUUGAAAGCUGGAAUGAAGGAUUGGACGAGAAAAUUACUGUCUCAAUUUUAAUAAUUGAAUUUAACUUUUAAGUUAAAAGGCUUAAAUUUUUUUAAAAGACGAGAAGACCCUAUAGAGUUUUAUAUUUAAUAUUUUUUAAUAAAUUUAGAAUUAUUAAAAUUUAAAUUAAUAUUAAUUAUUUGGUUGGGGUGAUUAAAAAAUUUAUUAAACUUUUUUAUUUUAAAAAUUAUUUAUUUGUAAAUUAAUUUUCUAUAGAUUGUUAAAUUUAAAAUAAAUUACCUUAGGGAUAACAGCGUAAUAUAUUUUUAAAGUUCUUAUUUAAAAAUUUGUUUGCGACCUCGAUGUUGGAUUAAAAUUUAUUAUU